UCCCUGGUGGCUCAGAGAUUAAAGCAUCUGCCUGCAAUGCAGGAGACCUAAGUUCGAUCCCUGGGUUGGGAA
rnacentral:tRNA from 1 species